rnacentral:misc_RNA from 1 species
GUGAAUCAUCGAAUCUUUGAACGCAAAUUGCACUCACCGGUUUUCCGGGAGAGAAUGCUUGUUUGAGGGUCAGCUUAAAAAAAUCGACAUUGUUGAUGUUAUAUGGUGACUUUCGUCGGAGCAGUGUUAUUUUAAAUAUAGGUUUAAGCGACUUAAAAAUUUUUUUUACGUUUUUAAGAAUGUUUCUAAGAUUUUUCUUGUAUGUUUAUGGUAUCGAAUGAAUUAUUAGACGUGACAGUCAUAUCGGAU